rnacentral:rRNA from 1 species
AGUGAACGCUGGCGGUAGGCCUAACACAUGCAAAUCGAACGGCAGCACAGUAAGAGCUUGCUCUUACGGGUGGCGAGUGGCGGACGGGUGAGGAAUACAUCGGAAUCUACUUUUUCGUGGGGGAUAACGUAGGGAAACUUACGCUAAUACCGCAUACGACCUACGGGUGAAAGCAGGGGAUCUUCGGACCUUGCGCGAUUGAAUGAGCCGAUGUCGGAUUAGCUAGUUGGCGGGGUAAAGGCCCACCGAGGCGACGAUCCGUAGCUGGUCUGAGAGGAUGAUCAGCCACACUGGAACUGAGACACGGUCCAGACUCCUACGGGAGGCAGCAGUGGGGAAUAUUGGACAAUGGGCGCAAGCCUGAUCCAGCCAUACCGCGUGGGUGAAGAAGGCCUUCGGGUUGUAAAGCCCUUUUGUUGGGAAAGAAAAGCAGCAGGUUAAUACCCCGCUGUUCUGACGGUACCCAAAGAAUAAGCACCGGCUAACUUCGUG